UCAUAAAGACGUCGUAAAUGAAAACGUGGGCCUCGCUAAUCCCUCGUUACACAACGAGGAAGUUACGAGGAAACAAAACGCGGGUCUCGCUAAUUCCUCGUAAAAAAUAACGCGGGCCUCGCUAGUUCCUCGUAAAGUUACGAGGAAAUUACGAUGAUAACUAAUUUCUUAUAUAAACACGCGAGCUCGCUCUCCCAUUUCCUCUCCACUUCCUCUCUCUUUCGUAGCUAUGGUACGUUCUCUCUCUAUUUCCUCUCUAAUUUGAUUAGUUUAGGGUAGAUUAGGUGGUUAGUGUAAGGAAUUUAGAUAGGUUUACUGAUUUUAUGUUAAUUAGUGUUGAUUAAGUAGUUAAUGUAGGGAAUUUAGCUAGAUUUAUAGAAUUUGUUAUUUAUAGAAUUUGUUAACUACUGUUGAUGUUAAUUUUAAAAAUUAAAUAUUUUUUCCAGACGAUUCGAAAGAACAGACUUACUCCCCAUUACAG
rnacentral:lncRNA from 1 species